rnacentral:rRNA from 1 species
CACGGAGUUAGCCGGUGCUUAUUCAACCGGUACCGUCGAUUUCCCUCGCAAGGGCUUUUCUUCCCGGUCAAAAGACGUUUACAACCCAGAAGGCCUUCAUCCGUCACGCGGCAUGGCUGGGUCAGGCUCGCGCCCAUUGCCCAAUAUUCCCUACUGCUGCCUCCCGUAGGAGUCUGGCCCGUAUCUCAGUGCCAGUGUGGGGGAUCGGCCUCUCAGCUCCCCUAGCCAUCGUCGCCUUGGUGCGCCGUUACCGCACCAACUAGCUAAUGGCACGCAGGCUCAUCUACUCCCGAAAUUCUUUAGCUGUUAGGUGAUGCCACCUGCAGCGUUAUGCGGUAUUAAUCCACCUUUCGGCGGGCUAUCCCCCAGGACGUAGGCAGAUUGCCUACGCGUUACGCACCCGUGCGCCACUGGAGUAUUGCUACCCCGUUCGACUUGCAUGUAUUAGGCCUUGCCGCUAGCGUUCAUCCUGAGCCAGGAUCAAACUCU